GGGGCUUUAGUUCAGGGAGGGGGCAGAUCGCUGGCAGCGAUCAGUCGGUGGUUCGAUUCCGCCUAUCUCCACCA
rnacentral:tRNA from 1 species